rnacentral:rRNA from 1 species
AUAAAGAUAUAAGAGCGUAGAGUUCAUAGC